rnacentral:rRNA from 1 species
GCCCAAACUCCUACGGGAGGCUGCAGUAGGGAAUCUUCCACAAUGGGCGAAAGCCUGAUGGAGCAACGCCGCGUGUGUGAUGAAGGCUUUCGGGUCGUAAAGCACUGUUGUAUGGGAAGAAAAGUUAAGGUAGGGAAUGACCUUAGCCUGACGGUACCAUACCAGAAAGGGACGGCUAAAUACGUGCCAGCAGCCGCGGUAAUACGUAUGUCCCGAGCGUUAUCCGGAUUUAUUGGGCGUAAAGCGAGCGCAGACGGUUGGUUAAGUCUGAUGUGAAAGCCCGGAGCUCAACUCCGGAAAGGCAUUGGAAACUGGUUAACUUGAGUGCAGUAGAGGUAAGUGGAACUCCAUGUGUAGCGGUGGAAUGCGUAGAUAUAUGGAAGAACACCAGCGGCGAAGGCGGCUUACUGGACUGUAACUGACGUUGAGGCUCGAAAGUGUGGGUAGCAAACAGGAUUAGAUACCCUGGUAGUCCACACCGUAAACGAUGAACACUAGGUGUUAGGAGGUUUCCGCCUCUUAGUGCCGAAGCUAACGCAUUAAGUGUUCCGCCUGGGGAGUACGACCGCAAGGUUGAAACUCAAAGGAAUUGACGGGGACCCGCACAAGCGGUGGAGCAUGUGGUUUAAUUCGAAGCAACGCGAAGAACCUUACCAGGUCUUGACAUCCUUUGAAGCUUUUAGAAAUAGAAGUGUUCUCUUCGGAGACAAAGUGACAGGUGGUGCAUGGUCGUCGUCAGCUCGUGUCGUGAGAUGUUGGGUUAAGUCCCGCAACGAGCGCAACCCUUAUUGUUAGUUGCCAGCAUUCAGAUGGGCACUCUAGCGAGACUGCCGGUGACAAACCGGAGGAAGGCGGGGACGACGUCAGAUCAUCAUGCCCCUUAUGACCUGGGCUACACACGUGCUACAAUGGCGUAUACAACGAGUUGCCAACCUGCGAAGGUGAGCUAAUCUCUUAAAGUACGUCUCAGUUCGGACUGCAGUCUGCAACUCGACUGCACGAAGUCGGAAUCGCUAGUAAUCGCGGAUCAGCACGCCGCGGUGAAUACGUUCCCGGGUCUUGUACACACCGCCCGUCACACCAUGGAAGUUUGUAAUGCCCAAAGCCGGUGGCCUAACCGUAAGGAGGGAACCGUCUAAGGC